GGGUGUAUAGUUCAGUGGUAGAGUGCAUGCUUAGUAUGCAUGAAGUUCUGGGUUCUACCCCCAGUACCUACA
rnacentral:tRNA from 1 species